rnacentral:rRNA from 1 species
CCUACGGGUGGCAGCAGUGAGGAAUAUUGGUCAAUGGGCGGGAUACUGAACCAGCCAAGCCGCGUGAGGGAGGAAGGUACAGAGUAUGGUAAACCUCUUUUGUCGGGGAACAAAACCUGGGACGCGUCCCCGGAUGAGUGUACCUGAAGAAAAAGCAUCGGCUAACUCCGUGCCAGCAGCCGCGGUAAUACGGAGGAUGCGAGCGUUAUCCGGAUUUAUUGGGUUUAAAGGGUGCGCAGGCGGUCUGUUAAGUCAGCGGUCAAAGCGCGGGGCUCAACCCUGUCCAGCCGUUGAAACUGGCAGUCUUGAGUUGGAGAGAAGUAUGCGGAAUGCGCGGUGUAGCGGUGAAAUGCAUAGAUAUCGCGCAGAACUCCGAUUGCGAAGGCAGCGUGCCGGCGCCACACUGACGCUGAGGCACGAAAGCGUGGGGAUCGAACAGGAUUAGAUACCCUGGUAGUC